rnacentral:lncRNA from 1 species
UUAUAAAUGAAUGUUAUUAAUGGGAUGUGUUCAUGUUUUUGUUCCUCAGAUGUGUGUUUUGUGAAGACGAAGUGGCCACAGAGACGUUCUUUCCAUGUAAACAUCUUUCGCUGUGUAAGAAAUGCUGUCCCCAAAGAUACCUAAACGAUGCCCUACGUGUGGACAGAAGAUAACGAGCAAAAAUAGUUUGGGUAAUAAUACUGUAUGAUCUGUCUGUUUGUCUCAUGGGCUUUAUGGUGUGGAAUAUUGUAUUUCAUGUUGUUGUGUAGAUCCAGUUCUGAUUAAUCAAGCACACUUUUGAUAAAAGAUGUUUCAGGUGUCUUUUCUCUGUCAUAUUAUGUCUCUCACUACUCCCACUAAACAUUGUUCUUGUCCAAUUAGAAGACUUGUCACUCUUCAAGAUGGCUACUUUCUGCAACAUAAAAAUAAUAAAGAAUACUGAAUUAUAAAUGGUGACUAAAUACCAAUAAAUCACCAAGGUUCUCUUAGUAAAUACCGACAUCUUGUGUGUGAUUAGAGUGAUUAAUGAUUUAUCAAUAUCUUCGGAAGCCGAUAAUUAAAAACAACUGCAUUUAUAUGAAUAUCAGAGUGAGCCUUUAUAAAAUAGGAGACUCAAUAAGAAAAUCUCAACUGAGGGUUUAGGGACCAACAUUAGAGAGGGGACAUCAAAAGGGUGGGAAACUUUGAUUGAUGUAUAGAUUAGUAUUCCUGAGUAUCAGUUCUUCUGAACCGUUUCAAAUAUUUUCACAGCAAUAAUGUGUGGACGACAAGUUUUAUGUCGUUAAUGAGGUUUUGUGUGAAUGUAGUGUGUUAAUUUAGAACACGAGAUAUCACUUCCUGUUAGACCUGAUGUCACUUUCUGUUCGACCUGCUUUAAUCUGGAGGAUGAAUGACAUUGAAAUAUCUUCAGAUAUUUCCCCACAUCUGAUUACAUUCUGGAGAACUGUGAUGUGGGUAAUUAAGAUUAAAGAUUACUAAUAGUAACGAAUAACAAAGAGAACAGGUAUAUAUAUAUCCUGAAGUGGUGUUUCGUGUUUGGGGUUGGAUAUUCGAUGCGCAACUUGGUUGACAUUUGAAUUUAGCAGAAGAUGAGACGAAUAUUGAUUAGAGAUCUCUGGAGGUGAAAUGACGAUGUCUUGUCAAAGAUCUGGAACAAACAUAAGAAAACCAAAACGAAACUAAGAGAAAAUCUGUUGUUAUUAGGGGAUAAUUAAACGAGAUAAUUUCAGAAUUGUUAAAAUUGUUGGAUGCCUUAAGAGACAGAGAAGGGUUGUUAAGUGUAGCUUAUGCUGUUGUGGACCUAAAUUUUGAAUAAUUACAUUGUAAUACUGUAGAAAUUAUACAAAUGCUCUCCAAAAGCAUGAUGGUCACCAGUUGACCAAUGAUGAUAGGAUUGUCUAACAAUAAUAAAACAUCGAUUAUUAAUAAUGAUAAAGACUUUUUUCUACAGUGUUUAAAACAUGAAAUUGUUUAUUUCAGAGGGUCCAAAGUCGUCAAAGCCGGAAGUCCAGAUGUUGGCAGAACCACCUGG